rnacentral:rRNA from 1 species
GUCUACGGCCAUGCCACCCUGAACGUGCCCGAUCUUGUCUGAUCUCGAAAGCUAAGCAGGGUCGGGCCUGGUUAGUACUUGGAUGGGAGACCCCCUAGGAAGACCAGGUGCUGUAGGCA